rnacentral:lncRNA from 1 species
GGAUUGGUAAGGGAGUAGGGAGCUGCUGGAGGCCGUCUUUCCCGCCUGAGAAUGAAGCCGACACAGAGGAAAGCAAAGAAGAUCAUUUUCUGAAGGCAGAGAGAUCAGCCUGUCGGUGGGUGGGACCCAUCGAAGAAUGCAAGGGUGAGAAACGAAAUCAGAUCUCGGAGGACUGGAAGACUCUCACGUGGACAUCAAUUACGAUCAUUAAUGGCUCACAAAUGAGUUCAGGCUCAUUUUUUGAUCCGUGGGAUUGUUUUAAAUUGAGCUCCAGAAACAGACCCUGGGAGCAGGAUUCAUGGCUGUAAGAAGAGCCAGCCAAAGUGCUCUGUCUACCAAGAGAACCUGAGCUCUAUAUAUAAGUGGAAGAGAAAAUAACGGAAGGCUGAUAGCUUCAUUUACAGUCUGAGAAGAUUCAGUUUCCUAUAAGUCAUAUUCUACAGCCAAUGGAACAAAUGUAACUUCCUAUUACAAGCGCCUAUUAGACCCUUAUAGAGGAUUAAACACAAUUUUAUUCUAAACUAUUGAAUAGUAAAGGGAAGUUUUAAGAAUGAUUAUAAGAAAUCAAAUAUAUAUAGAUUUAAAUUUGAAUAAGACCUGCACUCCUCCUCUCUAGUCACUUUGUUUACAAUACUCCUUAGAUGUAAUAUAUACAUACUGUAAUAUACUGAUAUAUAUAGAGAAUGUGUAAUACUCACUAGAAUGUAAAUAUUCUUUAAUCAUCUUUUCUUUAUCUUUGCUGAGCAAGAGAUGUUCAACAGAGUAUUUACAUUCUUCAAGAACUUGUAUCAACAAUUACUCAACCCUUGAUCUCAAAGACAAUUAUAGCUUAUAUUUCUAAAAUUAAGAUUAAAGAAAUAUGUCUAAAAUUUCUCAUUUCCAGAGUUAAACUCACAAAAUCCAUGCGUUGGCAAAAGAUGCCUUAGAAAUGACAAUGUGGCUGUAAAACAAAAGAAGAAAGACAGGGUUUUGUCAAUAGUCUUAACCACAGCCAGUGGAAAUCUGGCACAACAGCGAUUAGUCUCUCUCCGGUAACAUAACAGAGAUUUUCAAUCCAUCAGAACAGCUUGCUCCCUGAGCCUGGAGGAGGCCUCAGAAUUCUCUUUAAUGCAGCAUUCCAGGAAGCCACUAUUAAGCUGUUGGUGAUGGCAUCCUGUUUACCAUCUGUAUCAGAAUGUUUCUGUUGUAAAUAACAGGAGCCUCUGGCUAAUUUAUGCAAAAGGAGACUUAUGAAUGGUUACUAACAGCUCGUAAAACCACUGGGAGGGCUGCUGGUGCAGUGUAGCCUGAGCUUCUCCAAUGAGCUGGCCUGCUGAGGGAGCUGUUGCCAGCAGGACCCGAGAACCUCCCUAUGCCUCCGCCAUGAUCAGGAAGCUGCUGAGUCUAAACUGCCCUGCCCUUGCUGGCUCUAGAAGAAUGAAAGCCACUCAGCUUGUCAGAAGGUCCACCUUCCCUGCACAAGGCCAACAACUUGCUUUACCCACUCGCUCCUUCAAGACUCACAUCAGGGCACCUGCUUGGCAGACACUAAGUCACACGAACAGCUCUAGCUGUAGGAGAGUCUGCGGGCUGCUUAUAGCUUUCUGCCACUGCAGAGCAGGAAGGCACAGUGGAAGGGGGAAUGGGACUGAGCGAGCCAAUCUGUAGUUCUGCUUCACCAUCUCAGGAUGAAUCCUUGGCAUGAGAUAUAGGAAGAAAGCAUGGGAUACUUGGAAAGCACUGUAAGAUAUACAAAUUGGAAUUUGCCAGUGUUCAUCCAACGCUAUCCAGGAGAGAACGUACCUUGAUGAAACAGAUGUCCAGUGCUCUCUACAAUUAAACUCCAAAAGGAGGAGAGAGAAACUCCGGGACCAUUGUAACCUGAUGUAGGGUGAUCAACCAUCCCAGGUUCCCAGGAUGUGCAACUUUCAGUGCUAAAAUUGGGCAAGUUUCCAGCAAACCAGGAUGAAUUGGUUAUCAUCCCUCAAUGACACUAACCAUUGACAUCAGCCAACUAACUAACUCACUUCAUUCAGAUUCUACUCUCACCAAGCAAAUUUCUGAUUAUAAUUUGGCUUACUCGGCGUGUAGGGGAAAAUGCCCCCAAAACAUUUAGCACAAUGUCUGGUAUACAAUAAGCAC